CGGCGCACUGCUCCUUCGUCUCUUCCUGCUGCUGGUCUCUCCAUCCGGGUCUCCAAGGUUCCGGUCCCCCGCUCACCUGGGUCGCUCUCUUAUUCCCUUUCUCUCCACUUUGGGUGACAGUCAAGCUGCGCUGGGGGGGUGGUCCUCUGGGACCUGUUCCGGUGGUUUGAAGUACUUGUUCUAGGAGCUGUGUGUCACCAGAAUGAGACUUGUAAUUCUUGAUAAUUAUGCCUUGGCCAGUGAAUGGGCAGCCAAAUAUAUCUGUAAUCGAAUUAUCCAAUUCAAACCAAGAAAGGACAGAUAUUUUACCCUGGGUUUGCCAACAGGAAGCACACCUUUGGGAUGCUACAAAAAACUAAUAGAAUAUCACAAGAAUGGAGACCUUUCCUUUAAAUAUGUAAAGACCUUUAACAUGGAUGAAUAUGUAGGACUUCCCAGAAAUCAUCCUGAGAGCUACCAUUCUUAUAUGUGGAAUAACUUCUUUAAGCAUAUUGACAUAGAUCCUAAUAAUGUUCAUAUCCUUGAUGGAAAUGCUUCAGACCUACAGGCAGAAUGUGAUUCAUUUGAAAGGAAAAUAGAAGAAGCUGGAGGAAUUGAUCUUUUUGUUGGAGGCAUUGGUCCAGAUGGUCACAUCGCUUUCAAUGAACCAGGAUCCAGUUUAGUAUCCAGGACAAGAUUAAAGACUCUAGCAAUGGAUACCAUUUUGGCAAAUGCUAAAUAUUUUGAUGGAGAUUUAUCAAAAGUGCCAACUAUGGCUCUAACAGUUGGUGUGGGGACGGUGAUGGAUGCUAGAGAAGUAAUGAUUCUCAUAACCGGUGCACAUAAAGCAUUUGCACUGUACAAGGCAAUAGAAGAAGGAGUCAAUCAUAUGUGGACUGUUUCAGCUUUCCAGCAGCAUCCUCGAACUAUUUUUGUAUGUGAUGAAGAUGCUACCUUAGAAUUAAGAGUUAAAACUGUGAAAUACUUUAAAGGGCAGGGCCUACUGACAGGAUGUAAAUAUUGAAGUCCACUAGUAUAAGGGCAGGAAUUGGGAAGGAGAGGAAGUGGUGAGCUAGCUGCAAAAGGAAGAAUAACCUAAGGGUUUAAUGCAUGUACACAAUAAACUUGUGGAUCCACUGUACAGUAUGAAAGAAGAAAACUGAAGGACUGAUGUGAAAUUCUCCUUGAUUGAACAGAACAUUUUUAUAGGUAGUGAACUAAAUCUCCUGCUAUGCAAUUUGCUAAAUAAAACAAAUUUGGAGGAUUGUAAUUGAAAGCUCCGGUAUCUACAUGUUGUUAAACAUUCCAUAUGAUGAGAACUUAAGUCCAUUUUCCCAGCAUUUAAACCUUUGAAGAGAACUUUCACAGCUACACAUUAAAGAUACUGCAAAUCAGAAAUUAAAAAGUAUGUAAUUCGGGAUAUAAUUUGAGAAAGCAAAAAUCUGUAAGUCAUUUAUUUAUAAUUUCUUUUCAGUACUCUCCUAACCUGUCAAUAGUCAAACAUAUGAACUAUACUAGUUGUACAAUCCUUACUUUUGGAAAAGCUGUGUUUACAUUUUUUAUGUAUUUCACACAAGCUUUUGCACGUGGUUGCCUUAAAAAGCAUCUUACUACAGUAGCAGUUGGGCAUUUCAAGUCCUGUUAUAUUAUGCUGGUAAAAGAAACUUAAUUUGAUAUGAGAAGACAGUGCCUAUAUAGUUUACUUCCUUUUAAAAAAAGUAUCUUUUUUAUGUGCAUGUUUUUAUGCAGCUCCUGCCACAACACUUUUAAAAAUGUGUUUUUCAUUUACUCAGGUUCAUGCUUUUAGUUAAAUAUGUACUUUGGCAAUUAUGAUCUUUAUAUCCAAGCAGCAUAAUUUUUUAAGCUUGUUAAAACUACAUCUCUGAUUAGCUUAUUUCAUAAUAAAUCAAUAUGAUUAAAAGAACAGGCAUGCAUAAAAUGAAUCAUUAUAAUCUAUUUUGCAUUACAGUAUCAACUUGAAUCAUUUCUUACUUUGUGAGCUCAAAUAUUAGUGUUGUUUUCUAACUUUAAGCUUAUCAUGUAUAACCCUUUACAAAUUUGACUUCCAAAAGAUGAAUGAAAAGAAAUAGAUAUGCUAUGGAUGCAUUCCAAGUAUUAAAUCUUAAAUUCUUGACAGUA